CCUACGGGGGGCAGCAGGGAGGAAUAUUGGUCAAUGGGCGGGAGACUGAACCAGCCAAGUAGCGUGAGGGAUGAAUGUACAAAGGAUCGUAAACCUCUUUUAUCAGGGAACAAAGGCAGGGACGUGUGCCCUUAUGAGUGUACCUGAAGAAAAAGCAUCGGCUAACUCCGUGCCAGCAGCCGCGGUAAUACGGAGGAUGCGAGCGUUAUCCGGAUUUAUUGGGUUUAAAGGGUGCGUAGUCGGGUUGUUAAGUCUGAUGUGAAAGCCUGCGGCUUAACCGGAGUAGUGCAUUUGAUACUGGGAGACUUGAGUGCAGAAGAGGUGAGUGGAAUUCGAGGUGUAGCGGUGAAAUGCUUAGAUAUAUGGAAGAACACCAGUGGCGAAGGCGGCCUACUGGUCUGCCACUGACGUUGAGGUUCGAAAGUGUGGGUAGCAAACAGGAUUAGAUACCCGUGUAGUC
rnacentral:rRNA from 1 species